rnacentral:lncRNA from 1 species
GGCUGCUCUUCGGGGGGAGAUCUGACUGGAGCUUCCUUCACCUCGGCUGAUCGUUUGAUCCCCGACGCGCCGCCGAUCGUGUUCACUUCUGUUCCAGGUUGUUCCUGCAACGUGAGAAUAAUAACAGCAAACGCGCAGCGCUGGAGGCUGCCGCCUCUGAUUCAUGUCGCUUCCUUUUUCUCCGUGUGUGGGAGAGGACGGCGUGACAAAGUGCACACCCAGAGUUUGACAGUUUAAAGAAAAGACCCGCCCUCAGAUUGUCAUCUGCGCUUUGAUCUCGCCUUUCUCUGAUGUUCCUCGUCAUGGCAGAGUGUUUCGCUUUGCUAGCUUUUUUCUUUUUUCCUCUCGCGCUGAUUGUUGCAAGUGAAAUGCUCGUAUUGUCUGUGUUUGACCAGAAUUCUGUGGGAAGAAGAAUAACUCGUGAAACGGAGUUACAUGUGCACAAACGGCGGAAGAGUCGACGUCUCUCGCUGAACAGGAAGACUUCCUACACACCUGAGGAGUGCGUUUUUCCCAACACACCUGGACAAGAUUCUCAACUGUUGACAACAUCCCGAUUGGCCAGUUGCCUUUGA